AUCUAAGCACGAAACUUGCCCCGAGAUGAGUUCUCCCUGACUCCUUGAGAGUCCUGAAGGAACGUUGAAGACGACGACGUUGAUAGGCCGGGUGUGUAAGCGCAGCGAUGCGUUGAGCUAACCGGUACUAAUGAACCGUGAGGCUUAACCUUACAACGCCGAAGGUGUUUUGGCGGAUGAGAGAAGAUUUUCAGCCUGAUACAGAUUAAAUCAGAACGCAGAAGCGGUCUGAUAAAACAGAAUUUGCCUGGCGGCCGUAGCGCGGUGGUCCCACCUGACCCCAUGCCGAACUCAGAAGUGAAACGCCGUAGCGCCGAUGGUAGUGUGGGGUCUCCCCAUG
rnacentral:rRNA from 1 species